CCGUUGUGUCAAGAACUGCAACGUUGCUGGGUUUUUCACGCUCAACAGUUUCCCGUGUGUAUCAAGAAUGGUUAACCAACCAAAGGACAUCCAGCUGACUUGACACAACUGCAUCCCCGUGGAACGCUUUCAACACCUUGUAGAGUCCAUACCCCGACAAAUUGAGGCUGUUCUGAGGGCAAAAGGGUGCAAGUCAAUAUUAGGAAGGUGUUCUUAAUGUUUUGUACACUCAUUGUAUGUCAGUCAGUUUAUGACGUUGACUCCUAUUUUCUCCCCAGUUCUCUGGUGUUUUAGUCAUCACAUUUCUCCUGUUAUUUACCCAAACCUGUCAUGAAUAGGUUAGACCAGGCCUGUCAUGAAUAGGUUAGACCUGGCCUGUCAUGAAUAUGUUAGACCUGGCCUGUCAUGAAUAUGUUAGACCUGGC